CCCUCUCGAUUCAGCUUCUUCAUUUGCACAAUACAAUUUAGUCCAUCUUGCCAUCAAUCUGAGUCAUAUAUAUCUUGUGUUUAUUCGGCUUAACUGGUCAUAACUGCAAAAUGCAUAUGCGUGAGAAUAUUUUCCAAAAUUCCAAGUAUGUGAUGAUACAUAAUGAAAUCCGUGGUACUUUUUUAAUCAAACCUUCAUUAACCAAAACAAGUUAAGGUACAUUUCUUCGAGAAAAGGAGCAUCAAGGCUCCCAACUUCAUUUUCAUGAAACUAAUAAAGUUAAGGUACAUGGACCGCGAAAUAUCUAUAUAUCAACUACUCCCUCUGUAAACUAAUAUAAGAGUGUUUAGAUCACUAAAAUAGUAAUCUAAGCGCUCUUAUAUUAGUUUACGGUGGGAGUAUGUGAUAUUCAUAUGAUCAAACAUACUAUCCUAAUAUGUUUGAUCAUUGGUCAUUUAUUUUUCAGGGAAAACACACAACGUGGAAUCAGACAUUAUUUCUCUCAAAGCAUUGGUACACUUUUGCUCUGAGCUGUUGCAAGAAUUAACUGCUCUGAGGGAUCUUCUGCUCCUUGAGGUACCCUGCAAAUUUCUCAGCAGUUGCAGCCAGAGGUCCGGUGCUGACCAUAGCUUCAAGCCCGGG
rnacentral:lncRNA from 1 species